AAAAAAAAAAAGAAACUGAGGGAGGAAAAAUAGUACAGAGUAAAGCAUGGGGGUGAGGGAUAACCUCACAUUCCAAAUCACUUGUGACUUAGUCCUUUUUAACUUUUAUUUUAGGUUCAGUGGUACAUGUGAAGGUUUUAUCUUUUCUGUUCCUCCCACCUUCCCCACUCAAGUAGACCCCAGUGUGUGUUGUUUUGUGUUCAUAAGUUCUUUUAACUUAGCACCCACUUGUGAGAACAUGCUAUACUUGGUAUUUGGUUUUCUGUUCCUGGUCGUGUGUUAGUUUGCUAAGGAUGAUAGUCCUUUUUUUUUUUUUUUUUUUUUGAGACGGAGUCUUGCUCUGUUGCCCAGGCUGGAGUGCAGUGAUGUGAUCUCAGCUCACUGCAACCUCCGCCUCCCAGGUUCAAGUGAUUCUCCUGUCUCAGCCUCCCAGGCAGCUGGGACUACAGGUGCACAAUACUACGCCCGGCUAAUUUUUGUAUUUUUAGUAGAGACAGGGUUUCACCAUGUUGGCCAGGCUGGUCUCGAACUCCUGAUCUCAGGUGAUCCACCCACCUUGACCUCCCAAAGUGCUGGGAUUACAUGUGUGAGCCACAGGACCUGGCCGAUAAUCCUUUCUUAAUGAGGAUUAAUACCUUUUCAAUGUUUAUAUAGUGAAGGACAAAUAUAAAAACCAAGACUAUCACCCUUCUGUGCCCUCCAAUACUUUUGUAGAGUUGGCUGUUCUAACACCUAAAGAGCCUAGCGACACUGCUAGUUUUAAGCCAUCUCAUGAGGGACCUUUGUCGCAUUAGGUUACAACUUGUGCCAAAAGAACUAGAGGGAAAAGAUGUGGCCUGAGCCACACGCUACUGUAAGGGCCGGAGAGGAAAGCAGGCCUUGGCCUCGCUUGUUCCUGGGCUGUUUUUCGUAGGAUGGAUUUCAUUUGUCAGUCCUGCAGCGUGGCACACUUAAGGGAAUGGAAUGUAUCAUAGGGUUUCAGUUUCAGUAAACAUUAGCGGGCAUUAUCUGUAAACAGUAACUAGUUUAUUUUGUGUUAAAUUGGGAAGAACCUCUUUCUUCUGCCACGGGUGAGAUGAUACUAAAAGCAGGAGAAAAUAACAAAUGAGAAGAGCCCUUCUCUUCUCAGCUUCUCUCAAGAGUAGAGACUGGUGAAAAGGGGACAGGAAGAGGAAUCCAGCUGAAGAGUGGAAAGUUAACAAGAACAUCAAGAGGUACAUCCCUAGAGAGCAUCUCUGGGUCACUCCCAGGAUGACCUCAUUUUUCUGGAAGAGGUACAUGUGCUAGCUGCAUAGUAACCUAUGGCACAGCAAAAGCACAAGGAAGCGCCAUUUGGUUUUGUUUAGGGACAAUUAUUGGUAGCCCAACCUAUCUGAAGAAUUACUUUUAAUUAAAAGGAUGGUUAUUUUUAGGGGACCAGAAAUUACUUAGUUGUAUUCACUUAUGAGUUGAGCAGUUAGAGCACUCUGACAUCUGACACUUGAGUAAAGGGAUGUUUUUCUCAGUACUGGGUCUUUUCAUUAGACGGAUGCAUUUAUAUAGUGUCAGUUUUUAUGCUUCACUAAAUGAUAAGGCCUCUGUUUAAACAUGACCAUUAUUUACCUCACGAUUUAUAUUUUUCUCAAUGCCUGAAUACAC
rnacentral:lncRNA from 10 species